AUUGAACGCUGGCGGCAUGCUUUACACAUGCAAGUCGAACGGCAGCGGGGUAGUGCUUGCACUACUGCCGGCGAGUGGCGAACGGGUGAGUAAUAUAUCGGAACGUACCGAGUAAUGGGGGAUAACCAAUCGAAAGAUUGGCUAAUACCGCAUACGUCCUGAGGGAGAAAGCGGGGGAUCGCAAGACCUCGCGUUAUUCGAGCGGCCGAUAACUGAUUAGCUAGUUGGUGGGGUAAAGGCCUACCAAGGCGACGAUCAGUAGCGGGUCUGAGAGGACGAUCCGCCACACUGGGACUGAGACACGGCCCAGACUCCUACGGGAGGCAGCAGUGGGGAAUUUUGGACAAUGGGGGCAACCCUGAUCCAGCCAUGCCGCGUGUAUACAGAAGGCCUUCGGGUUGUAAAGUACUUUUGUUAGGGAAGAAAAGGGAAGUGCUAAUACCACUUUUUGCUGACGGUACCUAAAGAAUAAGCACCGGCUAACUACGUG
rnacentral:rRNA from 1 species